AAAAUAUUUUAGUUAACUCGUGAUUUGUUGAGUCUGUUUAAUAAUGGCCUUGCAAAAUUUUUGUGGUAUUACAUUUGUGCUGCUAUUUAUACAUUUAAAUGUAAUGCUCGCGACAGACUUUGAUAAUGGUAAGAAAGAUCCAUUUGGGCCAUAUCCUAGGAUACCCGAUAAGGAGUUGCUCAAGAAAGAGAUGUUAUUCGCGGAGAAAUGCAAGAAAUUUAUAAAAUCACCUAAAGAAACCUUUAUUCAAUAAU